rnacentral:rRNA from 1 species
CCGUAGCCUGGUAGCGGGGGAUAACUAUUGGAAACGAUAGCUAAUACCGCAUAACAGUAGAUAUCGCAUGAUAGCUGCUUGAAAGGUGCAAUUGCACCACUACCAGAUGGACCUGCGUUGUAUUAGCUAGUUGGUGAGGUAACGGCUCACCAAGGCAACGAUACAUAGCCGACCUGAGAGGGUGAUCGGCCACACUGGGACUGAGACACGGCCCAG